UACGUAGGGUGCGAGCGUUGUCCGGAAUUACUGGGCGUAAAGAGCUCGUAGGUGGUUUGUCGCGUUGUUCGUGAAAACUCACAGCUUAACUGUGGGCGUGCGGGCGAUACGGGCAGACUGGAGUACUGCAGGGGAGACUGGAAUUCCUGGUGUAGCGGUGGAAUGCGCAGAUAUCAGGAGGACCACCGGUGGCGAAGGCGGGUCUCUGGGCCGAUACUGACGCUGAGGAGCGAAAGCGUGGGGAGCGAACAGG
rnacentral:rRNA from 1 species